rnacentral:rRNA from 1 species
UACAGAGGGUGCAAGCGUUGUUCGGAAUUAUUGGGCGUAAAGGGCGCGUAGGCGGUCGGAUAAGUCUUGUGUGAAAUCUUCGGGCUCAACUCGAAGUCUGCACAGGAAACUAUCUGGCUUGAGUGUGGGAGAGGUGAGUGGAAUUCCUGGUGUAGCGGUGAAAUGCGUAGAUAUCAGGAGGAACACCCGUGGCGAAAGCGGCUCACUGGACCACAACUGACGCUGAGGCGCGAAAGCUAGGGGAGCAAACAGG